UACGGGGGGGGUAAGCGUUGUUCGGAAUUACUGGGCGUAAAGGGCUCGUAGGCGGCCAACUAAGUCAUACGUGAAAUCCCUCAGCUUAACUGGGGAACUGCGUGUGAUACUGGAUGGCUUGGAUUUGGGAGAGGGAUGCGGAAUUCCAGGUGUAGCGGUGAAAUGCGUAGAUAUUCGGAGGAACACCAGUGGCGAAGGCGGCUCACUGGUCCGGUACUGACGCUGAGGUGCGAAAGCCAGGGGAGCAAACGGGG
rnacentral:rRNA from 1 species